rnacentral:rRNA from 1 species
CCUACGGGAGGCAGCAGUGGGGAAUAUUGGGCAAUGGGCGCAAGCCUGACCCAGCAACGCCGCGUGAAGGAAGAAGGCUUUCGGGUUGUAAACCUCUUUUAAGAGGGAAGAGCAGAAGACGGUACCUCUUGAAUAAGCCACGGCUAACUACGUGCCAGCAGCCGCGGAAAUACGUAGGUGGCAAGCGUUGUCCGGAUUUCCUGGGUGUAAAGGGCGUGUAUCCGGGCUGACACGUCAGAUGUGAAAUUCCGUGGCUCAACCACGGAACUGCAAUUGAAACUGUCGGUCUUGAGUAUCGGAGAGGCAGGCGGAAGUCCUAGUGUAGCGGUGAAAUGCGUAGAUAUUAGGAGGAACACCAGUGGCGAAGGCGGCCUACUGGACGACAACUGACGGUGAGGCGCGAAAGCGUGGGGAGCAAACAGGAUUAGAUACCCCGGUAGUC